rnacentral:rRNA from 1 species
CCUACGGGUGGCUGCAGUCGAGAAUCAUUCACAAUGGGGGAAACCCUGAUGGUGCGACGCCGCGUGGGGGAAUGAAGGUCUUCGGAUUGUAAACCCCUGUCAUGUGGGAGCAAAUUAAAAAGAUAGUACCACAAGAGGAAGAGACGGCUAACUCUGUGCCAGCAGCCGCGGUAAUACAGAGGUGUCAAGCGUUGUUCGGAAUCACUGGGCGUAAAGCGUGCGUAGGCUGUUUCGUAAGUCGUGUGUGAAAGGUGCGGGCUCAACCGGCGGACGGCACAUGAUACUGCGAGACUAGAGUACUGGAGAGGGAAGCGGAAUUCGCGGUGUAGCAGUGAAAUGCGUAGAUAUCGAGAGGAACACUCGUGGCGAAGGCGGGUUCCUGGACAUUAACUGACGCUGAGGCACGAAGGCCAGGGGAGCGAAAGGGAUUAGAUACCCCAGUAGUC